rnacentral:tRNA from 1 species
GGUCCCUUCGUCUAGUGGUUAGGACACCAGCUUCUCAAGCUGGUAAUACGGGUUCAAAUCCCGUAGGGACUACCA